AACAGGAUAUUUUUUCUAAGUUGUAAGUUAAUUUAUCUACCAACGGAACUAGUACGUUUUCAUCAAUAAUAUUAAGAAAUUAUUGAUUAAAACAAGCCUCUGUUUCUUUCUGAAAAAUUACUUUUACGUUUGUCUUAUUGAAAUGUGCUAAAACAUUUGCACUAGAAACUAGACCAAAAUUACUUGGUAAGAUUUUGUGUUUUUUGCAGUGUGCAGUGAAAACUUUUGAGCCGGGAGAGAUUUAUAAAACGUUUUCUAAGACUAGUAAAUCUGAGACACCAGAGCCAAAAACGACGUGGAGAUGAAAGUAUGGAUUAUCCCAGGUUUACAUGGAACAACCCAGCCGAAGCACAUGCAUAUAAAAUCCAUCUGUUACAGCUUUGGGUUUUAAUGCUCCACCUGCAGCGAUCAGCCAACAUCAGAACGCUUUCAGAAGCAGCUUGAAGCCACAUGGACCAUAAAACAGAACUCUCUCUCACCUUUUUCACUUUGUAGACACUUCCUGGUUUUUGCUGACGUUCUUAUCCAUCUCUGCCUGAUGGAGGAUUUGAGACUCUCCAGUUAACUUUUAGAGUCCAUAUUGUGCAAAGCUCUCAAUUGAAGUAAGGGAUUUUCAUGACGUGAGCUUAUAAAGCAUUUUUAUUUUAUUUUUAUCCUCUGUUGAAAGAAAUGACCUACCAUUUCAACUCUAAAAAUCUGAUGUUUUGUUUAGCAGUUUUUCUUCUACUAGAGUAACAAAAAAUAAAAGAAAAAUGCUCUCGCCUGGACAGAGAAGAAAUUAUUUUCCUUUCAGCAGCAACACAAAUAUAAUGUUAAUUCAAGAUUAUUCUGCAAAGUGAUCAGAUCCAUAUUAAUUUUAUAGAAUCAAGGUACAAUUAUUGACGUAAUUAUGAGUUUUUAGGCGUCACAAACAACAACUUUUGGGUUAACAGGAAAAUUGAACAUGUUGAACUAGUCUUGGUUUGAGAUGCAGUUAAAAUGUCUGGAAAUGUUGAAACUUUGACAGUGCAGUCGGUAUUUAAACACAAAUAAUGUACACAAUUUAUUUUAGAAAACAUGUUAGGAGCUCGGCUUUGGUUGCUAGGUGAUGGGCGGAGUUCUGCUGUGGUUGCUAGGUAACGGAUAAUUCCGAAGGUUUUUGUAGCUGUUCCAAAAAAACCCAAAAAAACUAUUUACCCGUAGCCAAAAAACAGCUGGAUGUUUUUGUUUUUCUUAAGCACUUGAACUGUUUGUAGAGGAAAGUGGAAGUACAAAAGUGUCAAAAAUGUAAAUUUUGCAUAACCGGCCCCCUUUAAACGACAGGUUUUCUCUGUAAGAAUUACUUCACACCCAUGAAUCCUGUAAGAAGUCGUGUAAAAGUAAAUCAGUAUGAAAGAGGUCAUGACAUCUGCCAGGAGUUGCACUUCCUCUUCCUGCCAUCCAAACUGGUUGGUUCAUGUUGGACUCUAAGGGCUCCUGAAAGAUCGUCCUCAGAUUUAACUCCCUCCCUUCCUGCUUGUUCUCUCUGCCGUUGUUUCUUGUGUCUCUUGUCAUUAGCAUGCAGCAGGCGUCCCUGCAGACCUCACCGGAUGCAGCAGAAAGCUGUGAUCAGAGCGUCUCCAGGUAUUUUCUGCUCUCAGAUGGAGAAAACAGAACAGUAAAAUAACCUGAGGGGAAUUUUUACAGGAACAAAACUAAAGAUUU